rnacentral:lncRNA from 1 species
CAGGGUAUAGAGAAGCCAUUAGGGAUGAUACAGAACACCACCAAAGGAGCUCCUUCUGGGAUUCUCUAUUGGCUGAACUCAGCCAGAAGCUGCCAAGGGAGACCCCCACAACUGGAUGCAGCCCACUGAAGUCAGCUUCCUGGGGUGCGUAGCUGAAGGUAGCAGGGAGCAAAAAGAAUCUGAAGGGGAAGUGAACAAUGUAGAGCGUAUCUGUGCUGAAGACGUAAGGAGAGAGUGGAGGUCAGAAGCUGGCAUGGUCCCUGGUGCAUGUAUCAGCCGCUAAAGAAGUGGAGAGUAUGAACAUAAGCAAGAGGAAGUGAUGAGUAUCCCUUCCAGGAGAACUCUAAGAGGCAGUGAGUGAUUUGCUGGGCUCCCAAGCCCUCUGCUCUGAUGACAGCAAAGCCCCAAAUCAUGGUGCCUCCAUCAGUCGGGACCCCUCAGCAGAGCCAGCUUCACAGCUGGAGUGGAUGAAUCAGAACUUUCCCCAUGGGAGCAUUUAUAAAAAGGGGACACCCAGCGCAGAAGAUGUUUUCCAGGGAGAUCUCGGGGAGCCCAACAAGCCAAGAAGAGCAGAGCAAAGCAUUCCAAGGAAGGACUCUAAGUCUGCAACCGAGCACACACGAGAAGCAAGACUGACCUCCUUGGAACAGACUUUCUGGACAAUUUGCUGGCAGAGGAAGAGACCACAAGAGGAAAAAAGUGGACUUCCUGGUAAUUUAGGGGUUUGAUUAACAAAUUUGAAUAUUUAAAAGAGAUGUUAUUUUCACUAAAGAAGAUAGCUAAAUGGUAAAUAAGCCUAUUCAACAUUAUUAGUCAUCAAAGAAAUUCAAGUUAAAACUACAAUGACAUAUCACCACACACCCUUGAAAAUGGCUAAAAUAAGGACUGAUAUUAUCAAGUGUUGGGGAAGAUGUGGAGCAACUAGAACUCUCAUACUCAAUUUGGGAGUGCAAAUUGGUUCAAUCUCUUUGGAAAACUGUUUAGCAGUAGCUACAAAAGCUGAAAGCAUAGACUGUGACCCAGUAAUUUCAUUUCUGGAUAUUACUACACAUAUAUACACAGGAAUGUUUAUAUAUUUCCACCAAAGUGCCUACGCAAGAAUAUUCAUAGCAGCACUAUCUGUAAUAGCCUAAAACUAGAAACUACCUAAAUGUCCAUCAACAGGUUAAAAAAAGAUAAAUUGUGGUAUGUUUCUAUAAUGCAUUGUUACUCAGAAAGAAGAAGGAUGAGGAGAAUGUAACAACAUGAAAGAAACUCACUGCCCUAAUAUUGAGCACAAGAAACCAGAAAUACAUACAGAAAAGUAUACCAUACUCAUUGUUCUAUUUAUAUGAAAUUCAAGAACUGGCUAAACUAAUCUAUGAUGACAGAAGUCAGAAUAUGAUUACUUUUGGAAGGAGGAGCAUUAACCAAAAUGGGACAUAAAGGAGGCUGUUGAGAUACCUGAAAUAUUCUUGUCAUAAUCUGGGUAGUGUUGUAUGGGUAUUGCCAUGUAUUAAAUUGUGUCUCCCCACACCUUCAAAUUCAUACUUUGAAGCCCUAUUCCCCAAUAUGGUUAUGUUUAAAACUAGGGCUUUUAGAAGGGAAUUAAGGUUAAAUGAGACCAUCGGUUCCCUGAUCCCAUAAGAUUAGCAUCCUUAUAAAAGAAACAGCAGAGUUUGUGCGCUCACUCUGUCUUUCACUCUCUGUUUCUCUGUCUGUCUCCCCCUCUCUCCCUCUCUUCCUCCUGCUCUCUGCAUGCAUAGCACAAGGAAAGACCAUGUGAAUACACAGCAAGAACGUGGUGCUCUGCAAGUCAGAAACAGACCCGUCAUCAGACACCAAAUCAGCCAGCACCUUGAUCUAGGAUUUCUGGCCUCCAAAACAGUGAGAAAAUAAAAUUCUGUUGUUUAAGCCAUGCAGCCUG